rnacentral:rRNA from 1 species
GACGAACGCUGGCGGCGUGCUUAACACAUGCAAGUCGAGCGGUAAGGCCCUUUCGGGGUACGACGAGCGGCGAACGGGUGAGUAACACGUGGGUGACCUGCCCUCCAGCUCUGGGAGUAAGCCUGGGAAACCGGGUCUAAUACUGGAUACGACUCCAUGACGCAUGUUGUGGGGUGGAAAGCCUUGUGCGGCUGAGGAUGGGCCCGCGGCCUAUCAGCUUGUUGGUGGGGUGAUGGCCUACCAGGGCGACGACGGGUAGCCGGCCUGAGAGGGCGACCGGCCACACUGGGACUGAGACACGGCCCAGACUCCUACGGGAGGCAGCAGUGGGGAAUCUUGCGCAAUGGGCGAAAGCCUGACGCAGCGACGCCGCGUGAGGGAUGACGGCCUGUGUACU